AUGGAACCUUCCAUCCUGUAUUCCCGUGGCUUUGCAUCGGAAUCGGACGAUAAUGGACCUAAUGAAGAAGUUGAUGAGGAGGGGUUCACGGCAAAGGAUGCCGAAGCUUUCGAGAAGGUAUUACGGCGGGAUCAUCGGAUACCAUUGUUCAAGGAUCUUAGCCUCGCGGAUGAAGCCGUGGUUAAUGGUGGCAAGGAUAUAUUUCUUGGAGUUAGGCCAACUUCUUGA
rnacentral:rRNA from 1 species